rnacentral:rRNA from 1 species
AGUGAACGCUGGCGGUAGGCCUAACACAUGCAAGUCGAACGGCAGCACAGUAAGAGCUUGCUCUUACGGGUGGCGAGUGGCGGACGGGUGAGGAAUACAUCGGAAUCUACUUUUUCGUGGGGGAUAACGUAGGGAAACUUACGCUAAUACCGCAUACGACCUACGGGUGAAAGCAGGGGAUCUUCGGACCUUGCGCGAUUGAAUGAGCCGAUGUCGGAUUAGCUAGUUGGCGGGGUAAAGGCCCACCAAGGCGACGAUCCGUAGCUGGUCUGAGAGGAUGAUCAGCCACACGGGAACUGAGACACGGUCCAGACUCCGACGGGAGGCAGCAGUGGGGAAUAUUGGACAAUGGGCGCAAGCCUGAUCCAGCCAUACCGCGUGGGUGAAGAAGGCCUGCGGGUUGUAAAGCCCUUUUGUUGGGAAAGAAAAGCAGCAGGUUAAUACCCCGCUGUUCUGACGGUACCCAAAGAAUAAGCACCGGCUAACUUCGU